UACAGAGGGUGCAAGCGUUGUUCGGAAUUAUUGGGCGUAAAGCGUGCGCAGGCGGUUCGCUAAGACAGAUGUGAAAUCCCCGGGCUUAACCUGGGAACUGCAUUUGUGACUGGCGGGCUAGAGUAUGGCAGAGGGGGGUAGAAUUCCACGUGUAGCAGUGAAAUGCGUAGAGAUGUGGAGGAAUACCGAUGGCGAAGGCAGCCCCCUGGGCCAAUACUGACGCUCAUGCACGAAAGCGUGGGGAGCAAACAGG
rnacentral:rRNA from 1 species